rnacentral:misc_RNA from 1 species
GACCCAAAACCAGAAAGAACAAUCUGCCAAAAGAAAAAAAAAAAUCCAUACUUGCACUAAAAUCAAAUAGAUAACAAGAACUAGAUUUCAAUCACCCAUUCAGAACACAUGCAAAGAUGUGAGUUAGAAAAAAAAUUGAAAAAGCAAGAACUAGAAAUGGAGGGACUAUGGUCACCAUCAUGGGCAGAGCCACAUUAGGGCCAAGGGGGGCACUGGGCACCCCUGGAAUUUCUGGAUUUUUUAGGUAUAUAUUAGUAAUUUUACUAAAUUAAGAUAGAAAUAUCACUUUUUUUUGUCUUAGAUUUUGAUAAGCUAAUACUUAUUAUUUUACACUACUAAUGUAUGGUUAGUGGACUAAACAGCCCAUUUUCUGGCCUAGAGUUAAUCAUAGAUUAUUUUAUUUUUUGUUUAUUUUGUCUCCAAUCAUCUAUAAAAAGAAAAAAAAAACUAUUAUCCUUUUAGGGGGAUAAGGUUCUUGACUGAUUGUCAUUAUAAUUGCAUCCUUUAAUUACAUUUUUUUUAAUCAGAGCAAAAGUACAUCAUAUGUCAUAAUUAUAAUCAAAUAAAAGUAUAAUUCUGAAAACAAAGUUUUUUUUUUUUAAGAAAAAAAAAAUAAAGUCUAUAUUUGUGCAUCAAAGCGUGUGAUAGGAGAUUAACAAUAUAUUCCUUAGAUUUAUAUUUUAAUAUAAAAAAUAAAAUUGAUGUUAAAUUUAUAUUUUUAUGUUGUUAAUUAUAAAAUUGAAUUGUCAAAGUAAAAUUGAUCAUUAAUCUUAUAAGUUACAUGAAAAUCCACUUCACAAUAGAAUAGGAGAUGAAUUAUUACGUGAUUGUUUGAUGAAUUACGUUGAAAAAUAUAUAUUUGUAAGCAUUGACAAUGAAGUUAUUAUGAUUAAUUAGAUUUCAAUUAAUCAAAAAUAAAUGAUAACCAUUGUAAUUUACUUAUAAUAUCUUAUUAACUUCUUAUUAGAAAUUCUCUUAUCAACUUAUGUCUAUUUCAUGUAUGUUAUUUUUAUAAAUUACAUAUUUUAAUUGGACCCCCUCAAAGGAAUUCCUACCUCCGUCACUAGUCACCAUCAUAGUGCUACAUGAAUAAGACCUGCUGCAUCGUCAAGCAUCAAAACCUCAAUAGAUUUUGAUCACAAAAAAAACAUGAUGACACUAAACCCAUAUACUCAUGAUAAAUGCUUAUCAAAAUGCAAGUAAUGAUAGGAAACUAUGUAAGAAAAGGGAGGAACAUAUAAUAGAGCCUCUUUUGAUAAUCUCUAUUACUCUCCCAAUCACCUGAAAACCAUGCCAAACAUAAAUCAAAGUGAAAUAGUUCACAAAAGUGAAGUGAAAGCAUAUGCCCCUAUUUGUGUAGGCCUUCAUAGAAAGGCAAAAAUGAGCCCUCUUUAGAAAUCAUUUUCACUCUCCCAGUCCUCAGCAAACUAAGACAAUUAUAAACUAAGUUAAAUUGGUUGCAAAAAUUUAAGUGAAUGAAUGAUUCCCUGUGUAGGUGUCUUGAACUUUAUAAAAGGCCAAAAAAACUUACCAAUGGAGGAUUUUUGAAAAGAUCAUGAGGGCAUCUAGGACGCAAUUGAGAUUGUGCAACAUCUUGUGCUGUUGAAUAC